AGAGGUCCAUCUAAUUUUCCCCAGCAUCUUAAUAAACAAUUUACUUUUGGAGGCCACAACUUUCCAUUAAGCUCAAUCUUCAAUGAGAAAGACAAAAGAAGAAACCCUAGAAAUUGUUUGAUAACUCAAAAAAAAAAAAAAUCUCAUUAGAGUGACUCUCCUUACUUUGCUUCCGUGAUAUUGACAUUUUAGCCAGACUGAAGUAAGCUCAUCGCCGUUCCCCAUAACUUCACGACUUACAGCAUGGAUUUGCUGCCAGUGAAAUCAAUUGAAGUAUGAUAGAACAUGAAAUUUCUAGAGUUGCAUACUGGGCAGGCUAUAUUUAUUAAGAUCAACCAAUUGCUUUUUGGGUGGGAAAAUGGCGUGCAAUAUAGAUGAGGCUGCUAGGGCUAAAGAGAUUGCAGAAAAUAAGUUCUUUGCAAAUGACAUUAUGGGUUCAAAGAGGUUUCCUUUGAAGGCUCAGACUUUAUAUACUAAGCUUGACGGUAUCCCCAAAUUGUUAUUAUCAACGACCGAUGUAUAUAUUUCUGCUGAGAACCUUGGUGAUUUUGAGCGAGAAAAGGAAUAACACUCCUCAUCUUAUUUUGCUAAUUCAAACACAUCAAUGAGAUUUCGCUUUUAA